GCCGUGAGAUUCCCAGGAGUUUCCACUUGGUGAUCAGCACUGAACACAGACCACCAACCAUGGAGUUUGGGCUUAGCUGGGUUUUCCUUGUUGCUAUUUUAAAAGGUGUCCAAUGUGAGGUGCAGCUGGUGGAGUCUGGGGGAGGCUUGGUACAGCCAGGGCGGUCCCUGAGACUCUCCUGUACAGCUUCUGGAUUCACCUUUGGUGAUUAUGCUAUGAGCUGGAUCCGCCAGGCUCCAGGGAAGGGGCUGGAGUGGGUAGGUUUCAUUAGAAGCAAAGCUUAUGGUGGGACAACAGAAUACGCCGCGUCUGUGAAAGGCAGAUUCACCAUCUCAAGAGAUGAUUCCAAAAGCAUCGCCUAUCUGCAAAUGAACGGCCUGAAAACCGAGGACACAGCCGUGUAUUACUGUACUAGAGACACAGUGAGGGGAGAUCUCACUGGAUCAUCUCGAGGGCCCAUCUUCACCCCUGUCUCCCGAAGACUCCUGGAGAGGCUGCAGGACGGGCAGAAGGAGGCGCCCCGUGUGAGUCCACACGACCUGGAGCCUCCCUCUCCUUGGAUUAGGCCAUCUCCUCGGGAUCACAGGGCUCUUCAUUAUCCUCACCCCGCUGUUGUACCAAACAAGCAACAUCACACUUCAAUUCAUCAGGGUUUGCUUUAAUUUUCUAAAUCAUCGUGAAGGUGAUAAUUUUAACAGUAAUGUAUCACAACCAAAUAGGAUAAGCCCUUUUCCAUGGAACAGGGUUUCUUAUCAGGAUAUACAUGUAUUAUGGAUUCUCAAUUUAUUUGUAGAUGAGAUGCUAAUAUCUCCAUAUUGUAGAUGAUUCUGCUAAGUCAUCUCUUAAAAUUAAUUUUUCCAAAGACUCAAACAAAUAAAUGAUAUAAUUAUAAAUUUCAGGUGUAAUAGCUGAGCCAACAUUGAGACUAUAUUAACGUUUAGAACAUGAACUUGCAAAUAUUGUUAUUUUCCUGUCGGCUGUCCCCAAUUGUGAUUUUAUACAGAAUAUUAGAAAUGUAUCCUGAUAAAUCAGGUUAAAAUAUUAUAUCAUUAGUUUAUUAACUUUUAUAACUAAUAAGAUAAAAUGUUCCACAUAUUUUUUAGCCAUGUUUUACUUAUCCAUGACAUGUGUGUUUAUUAAUUUUUCAUUUUAACAUGCCACCUUUAUCUUUCUUAUUUCUGGGAUUUUAUUCUACUAGAUAGAGCUGAAUGCAUUUUAAUAAUUAUUGUAAUAAUCACAUUUAUAUUUUGCAUUUUGAUUUUCAUAUACACUUUAUUAAUAUUUUAAUUUCAAUAUAAAAUAUUUUCCUACAAAUGUCAAUUUUUGAUUUUUAUGAGAUAAAAUUAAUCUAUACAAAAUACAUGUAUUUUCAAUGUACAGUUUGAGGGUUUCUGGCAAAUGUGCACACAUUUGUCUCCAGCAUCUAAGUUAUGAUGAGGAGCAGGUCCAUCUCCACAACAAGUGUCCUCUUCAGUGCUUCCAGUCAGCUCACACAUAAGGAAUUUUUUUUCAAAUUUAAUUUAGAUACAGAGGGUAAAUGUUUGGAUUUGUCACGGGGGAUUAUUGAGUGAUGCUGAGGUUUGGAAUACAGAUUCCACCAUCCUCUCCCUCCACUCUCCAGCAGUCCACAGUGUCUAUCAUUCUCAUAAUUAUGUCCAUGUGUGCUCAAUGCUGAGGUCUUAGGAGUAUAUGUGGUAUUCAGUUUUCUGCUCCUACAUUAAUUUGUUUAUGAUUAAGGGCCCCAGCUUCUUUCAUUUUACUGCAAAGGACAUGAUUUCACUCUUUUUUGUGGCUGUGUAGUAUUAUAUAUUGUAGAUGUACCGCAUUUUGUAUAUCCAGUCUACCAUUGAUGUGCAUCUGGGUUGAUCUAUGUCUUUGCCACUGUGAAUAGCACAGCAAUGAACAUAGAUGUGCAUGUGUCUUUUUGGUAUAAUUAUUUGCUUACUUUUCAGUGUAUACCCAGUGGUGGGAUUGCUGCAUAAAAUGAUAUCUCUGUUUUAAGUUCUUUGGGAAAUCUCCAGUCUGCUUUCCAAAGUGGAAACACCAAUUUAUAUUCCCCUCAUCAGUGUAUAAGUGUUCUCUUUUCUCCACAGUCCCACCAGCAUCCAUUGUUUUUUGACUUUUUAGUGAUAGCCAUUCUGAGUGGUGUGUGGCUACACACCUACAAUCACCUCAUCUUUGAUAAGGCUGAUGAAAACAAGCAAUGAGGAAAGGACUCUGUUCAAUAAAUGGUGCUGGGACAACUGACUAGGCAUAUGAUGAAGACUGAAGCUGGAUGUCUACUUUCAACACACAUAAAAUUAACUCAAAAUUCAUUAAAGUUUUAAAUGUAAGACCUCAAACCAUAAAAAUCCUUGAAGACAACCUAGGAAAUACUCUUCUUGACAUCAGGUUUGGCAAAAAAAUUUUGGCUGAGUAUCCAAAACCAAUUGCAACAAAAAGAAAAAUAGACAAGUGGGGUCUAAUUAACUGAGGAGUUCCUGCUCAGCAAAACAAACAAAGAAGCAAACAAAACUAUCAGCACAGUACUCAGACAACCUACAGAAUGUGGAAAGAUAUUCACAAACGUUCCAUCCAAGAAAGCCCUAAUAUCCAGAAUCUAUAGGGAAAUUAAACAAAUCAAGAAGCAGGGGCAGGAAGGGUGUUUCCUUUUGGAUCUUGCCACUAACCUGUUGGGAGUUUUUCUCCUUCCUUUGUGGUUUCAAGAAACAAUGGUAGAUUCUCCUCAGGUAUAAAGCUCUGCUUUCUUGUAUUAUGUAAUGUUUUUGGUUUCGGAUGUUACCAGAAUUACACUGCACUGUGAGAGGAUUCAUUCCUGGUGUGUGCAAUAGUGGAUGAAAGCUGCAAUGUUAGGGGUGGCUUUGAAAGCUACGUUAGGGGUGGCUGAGGGCAGUUAGCAGGAAAUGAUCAUCACUAUAGAAGGCUACUCAUUUCUUUGCACAUUUCCAUAAACAAUUGUAGUUUAUGCCCUAAAAACUGCAUGCUUUCUUGGCCCUUUUUCUUAAAUGCCUCCAAUCCAAGACCAGUCAUCUAAUUAAG